rnacentral:rRNA from 1 species
UACGUAGGGUGCAAGCGUUGUCCGGAAUUAUUGGGCGUAAAGAGCUCGUAGGUGGCCUGUCGCGUCGGCUGUGAAAACUCGGGGCUCAACUCCGGGCCUGCAGUCGAUACGGGCGGACUGGAGUUCGGCAGGGGAGACUGGAAUUCCUGGUGUAGCGGUGAAAUGCGCAGAUAUCAGGAGGAACACCGGUGGCGAAGGCGGGUCUCUGGGCCGAUACUGACGCUGAGGAGCGAAAGCGUGGGGGAGCGAACAGG